rnacentral:lncRNA from 1 species
GCUUUGGCUUUCUGCCCAUCCUGCCUGAGCACCUGGAGCUUGCAGUUACUGCUCACUUGGAGAAGAAAUUCCAGGUGACCUUGAAGGAGAAGACAAGCAGGUCCUGACAGAAGACCUUCCCACCGGCUUUGCUGGUUCAUUCAUUCCCCCUUUGGGAAAAACGAUUUCUGAAGUCUGUGCCUGGAAUGCCAUGGAAUGGAGCUCAUUUUCAGACUGAUAAAAAAGGAUCCUGAGUACCUGAGAAAGAUUGGCCUUGAAAGGUCACAAAACCAAUGUGAGUGAAAGAUAGUGGCUUGUCCAUCGAGGGGCUCUGGGAUGGGCAUUUAAUAUAAAGAUGUAAUUUAAGAAUUUCGGGAGGUAGGCCUGUAGCUCAUAGAGAAACCCAGGUGUGUCCAGAUCAGAUAUUUUAUAGCUCUUGGCAGGAAAGUGCUGUACCAUAAAUUGAUAGAAAAGCAUCAAUGGAUAUGUGAAUUAUUAUCAUCUCCACAAAUGUGUAUUUUUUGUCCAUGAACAUAAAUUACUGAAAUUUCCAGAAGACCAUCUUGUUUUGUUCAGUGAGUUCACAGGUCCUAAAUUGUUCAGUCUACAAAAAUGAUGUGGGUGUUUUGGAAAUUCAUUUUCCCUUCUCCUUUUGUGGCUUCUCUCACCUUUCCCUUUCUCCCUCAUGUAUCUGUUUAGGAGCUUUGGAAUGCUUCACAGAAAAUGAGGAGAAACACUAUUCAUUUGCAACAUUUUUCCCAACCCUAUUCAUUUCCUAAGUCCUAAAGAUUGAGUCUACAGUGGCCAAAGGUCAGGACCAUGCUGGUGAUCAGGAAGAAGUGACCUGUCUCUGCCAGGGGAGGAUCGUAGUUCUCAGUUUGUGACUAUGGAGCUCUUCUCUUCAGCUAGGUAGCUAACAGAAGGUAACAGAUAUUCUGGCCAAGAUUAUAUCUGUUCUGAACAAUU